UACGGAGGGUGCAAGCGUUGUUCGGAAUUACUGGGCGUAAAGGGCGUGUAGGCGGUUGGGCAAGUCAGAUGUGAAAGCCCGGGGCUCAACCCCGGAAGUGCAUUUGAAACUGUCUGGCUAGAGUAUGGGAGAGGAGAGUGGAAUUCCCAGUGUAGAGGUGAAAUUCGUAGAUAUUGGGAGGAACACCCGUGGCGAAGGCGACUCUCGGGACCAAUACUGACGCUGAGACGCGAAAGCGUGGGGAGCAAACAGG
rnacentral:rRNA from 1 species